rnacentral:rRNA from 1 species
UACGAAGGGGGCUAGCGUUGCUCGGAAUCACUGGGCGUAAAGCGCACGUAGGCGGAUUGCUAAGUCAGGGGUGAAAUCCUGGAGCUCAACUCCAGAACUGCCUUUGAUACUGGCGAUCUCGAGUUCGGGAGAGGUGAGUGGAACUGCGAGUGUAGAGGUGAAAUUCGUAGAUAUUCGCAAGAACACCAGUGGCGAAGGCGAACAUCUGGCCCGAUACUGACGCUGAGGCGCGAAAGCUAGGGGAGCAAACGGG